GGACCGUUCCCCAUAUAUCUACUGACUUCAUAUAAAUGAAAGUGUCGCUGAUCUGCACUACCAGCUCGUUCAACGUUACUGACCACAAAGUAAUCCGACAAUCAGAUCGGACCUGGUCAUGUUAGAAGAUACCAAAGAUAGGGGAUGAACAUACAAUCGAUUCUGCAUCGAUGCAUGACUUCGCUCGGAA